AUGGUUAAUGCUGUCUCAGGCUGGAGAACAAGCGCUCUGAGUGCUAAAGACUCCUUCCAUCUCCACGUCUCCAAAUGCCCCCACGUAGAUUCCAGGAUCCACGCAUCAGAGGCACCUGCCAUCGAGCUGCGCUUGAACUCUGAAGACCAGGAUUGGGUGCAUUGGAAAGAGCCUAGGGAAGCUGGAGGCCACGAGAGAUGCUGUCAAGCCACACAAGCAGGGGACAAGGCUGAUGUUCACACUUCUGCCAGUGGACCACCUUGGUGAAGGGAAAUGUCCAGUCAAGUUCACAGCACCUGCAGAGCCUAAGACAUAACAAGCAGUAUGCCCUGACACUCACCAAGGCCAGAGGCUGUGGUGAGUGUUCUACCUGUUUCUGUAAAGAAGAGAAAUCAGAAUGCCAGAGAAGUGAAGAAACUUUUCCAAGGUCAUUUCAUCACCAAAUAAUGUCUGCUUUGACCAUCUCUACAUUUUGUGCUAAACCAAGAUUUAAGCAGCUGUUCAAAGGAACAGUGGAAGAGAUGUCACAGAUGUAA